rnacentral:rRNA from 1 species
UACGUAGGUGGCAAGCGUUGUCCGGAUUUAUUGGGUUUAAAGGGUGCGUAGGCGGCUUUGUAAGUCAGUGGUGAAAUAUGGCAGCUCAACUGUCAAGGUGCAAUUGAUACUGCGGAGCUUGAGUACAGAUGAGGUAGGCGGAAUUGACGGUGUAGCGGUGAAAUGCUUAGAUAUCGUCAAGAACACCUAUAGCGAAGGCAGCUUACUAGGCUGUAACUGACGCUGAGGCACGAAAGUGUGGGGAUCAAACAGG